AUGCGAGCUCAGCUCAGGCGGGGCUACCCGCUGAGUUUAAGCAUAUCAAUAAGCGAAGGAAAAGAAACUAACAAGGAUUCCCCUA
rnacentral:rRNA from 1 species